UACGAGGGGCCCAAACGUUAUUCGGAAUUACUGGGCUUAAAGAGUUCGUAGGCGGCGCAGAAAGUAGGGUGUGAAAGCCCUCGGCUCAACCGAGGAAUUGCGCCCUAAACUACUGUGCUUGAGGAACCUAGAGGUGAGCGGAACUGAUGGUGGAGCGGUGAAAUGCGUUGAUAUCAUCAGGAACACCGGAGGCGAAGGCGGCUCACUGGGGGUUUUCUGACGCUGAGGAACGAAAGCCAGGGGAGCGAACGGG
rnacentral:rRNA from 1 species